rnacentral:rRNA from 1 species
UCCGCAAUGGGCGAAAGCCUGACGGAGCAAGACCGCGUGGGGGAGGAAGGUUCUUGGAUUGUCAACCCCUUAUCUCAGGGAAGAACACAAUGACGGUACCUGAGGAAAAAGCAUCGGCUAACUCCGUGCCAGCAGCCGCGGUAAUACGGGGGAUGCAAGCGUUAUCCGGAAUGAUUGGGCGUAAAGAGUCCGUAGGUAGUCAUCCAAGUCUGCUGUUAAAGAGCGAGGCUUAACCUCGUAAAGGCAGUGGAAACUGGAAGACUAGAGUGUAGUAGGGGCAGAGGGAAUUCCUGGUGUAGCGGUGAAAUGCGUAGAGAUCAGGAAGAACACCGGUGGCGAAGGCGCUCUGCUGGGCUAUAACUGACACUGAGGGACGAAAGCUAGGGGAGCGAAUGGGAUUAGAUACCCCAGUAGUCCUAGCGGUAAACGAUGGAAACUAGGUGUGGCCUGUAUCGACCCGGGCCGUGCCGAAGCAAACGCGUUAAGUUUCCCGCCUGGGGAGUACGCACGCAAGUGUGAAACUCAAAGGAAUUGACGGGGGCCCGCACAAGCGGUGGAGUAUGUGGUUUAAUUCGAUGCAACGCGAAGAACCUUACCAGGACUUGACAUCUCUGGAAUCUCCUUGAAAGGGGAGAGUGCCGUAAGGAACCAGAA